UGUGGUUUUUAAGAGGGUCCCCGCUUCGCCGUAGCGGAGAAGACCUGUUUCCCGCGGAGCUAGUCCCUCCAGUUCAGAGGGAGUCCGCCAUUGCCGGUGGCGCCACCCCGGAAGUCCCACAUUUGAAACUUCCCAUGUACUCACACAAACAUAUACCAGCUGACAUCCAAAAACUUGACAUCCAUUCACGUUUGUGCCCUGGCUUCAAUCCACAAAUGUCUACUGGCUUCUGUUGACUGUCUUCCAAAGGUGAACUUCCAUCAGCCAACAUCCACAAACAUCAGUCUGCUUUAGCCUUGUAGCCUCCACCAACUUCCCAAUCCAAAAGCCAUUGGCUUCCAUCCACCAACAUCUGCCAGCUUCUCUAAGGUCCAUCAUGAGACGUCCACCAGCUUCCAACCAAGGAUACCAGGAGCCUUCAAGCAAGCAUACUUGCCUUAUUAUCACUCCCUAGCAUCCCACUGCCAGAGGAUUGCCUCCUUCCAUUCUCCACUUUGCCUCCUCCAAGUGGAAGAAACCUGGGCAGUGCUGAAUGUCAUUUCCAUUGCCAGGUGUG
rnacentral:lncRNA from 1 species